rnacentral:rRNA from 1 species
GAGGCAGCAGUGGGGAAUAUUGCACAAUGGGGGAAACCCUGAUGCAGCGACGCCGCGUGGAGGAAGAAGGUCUUCGGAUUGUAAACUCCUGUUGUUGAGGAAGAUAAUGACGGUACUCAACAAGGAAGUGACGGCUAACUACGUGCCAGCAGCCGCGGUAAAACGUAGGUCACAAGCGUUGUCCGGAAUUACUGGGUGUAAAGGGAGCGCAGGCGGGAAGACAAGUUGGAAGUGAAAUCCAUGGGCUCAACCCAUGAACUGCUUUCAAAACUGUUUUUCUUGAGUAGUGCAGAGGUAGGCGGAAUUCCCGGUGUAGCGGUGGAAUGCGUAGAUAUCGGGAGGA